GUCUCCGUGGCGCAGCGGUAGCGCAGUAGUCUCAUACCCACUCAGUAUGACCAAGUCACAAGGUUUGGAGAUAUCUAAAGGUCGUGAGUUCGACCCUCACCGGGGACA
rnacentral:tRNA from 1 species